rnacentral:rRNA from 1 species
GACGUAGGGCGCGAGCGUUGUCCGGAUUUAUUGGGCGUAAAGAGCUCGUAGGCGGCUUGUCGCGUCGUUCGUGAAAACCUGUGGCUCAACUACAGGCUUGCGGUCGAUACGGGCAGGCUGGAGUUCGGUAGGGGAGACUGGAAUUCCUGGUGUAGCGGUGAAAUGCGCAGAUAUCAGGAGGAACACCGGUGGCGAAGGCGGGACUCUGGGCCGAUACUGACGCUGAGGAGCGAAAGCGUGGGAGCAAACAGG